GUCACCCCUGGUUGGCAACGUCCGUGUUUAUCUGCAUUCCCCAUCUCCUCCACAGUAGUUGUUAGUCUAAGUAGUUGUUGUGCAGAAAGGAUCUCGAAGGAAUAUCGUGUGACCAUAGAUACUAUAUACCCCUGGAUACGAAACUCCUCUAUGCACACAUAUAAAAUCCCAUAAGGAAACGUCAUAAACGUCACAUCCGGCUGUCCUCACCCUUGUUUCGCUGCAUUCAUGGCUGCCAGGGUGACAAGAGAUGGGAAAAUCAUGCAUUGGUAGGCUGCAUAUACUAAAAGAAAAGGAAAGUUUCAGCAAUUAUAAUGCAUGAUAAAUGUCAAGUUUUAUUGUAUUAUUGUACAUAAAAUCACACUUUUAUUAGCAAUAAUAAUACUUUUUAUCAUUGUUUUAUUUUUAUUCUGAAUGAAAACGUAAUAUGACGUA